CAGGAGGUACAGAGGGGACAAAGAGAGGGGUCAGCUGAGGGGCAUCCAAGAAGAAAGGACUGAGGCGGUUCAGCACUCUGGGCCAGGCACUGUUCUAAGCACUUUGUGCAUACAUUAUCUAAGUGACUCUUCACAACAACAACCUUCUGAGUUAGACAUUGUUCUGUGGCUUCUACUUGGCUGUUGCGGUGAUAAGCUGAGGCCCUGACACCGUGUUCCUGUCACUUUCCUGUUGUGGCCGUGAACGAUGCCUUGAGCUCAGCUCUACCUAGAUGCUUGGACUCAGCUGCUGCAGCUUAGAGGCUCUGGACAAGCCCUUCAGCAUCAGGCCAUCUCUUCCAAGAUUCUGCUCAGUACUUGAGCCUGGAUGAUCUGCUGAGCUUCAGUCUCUGCCCUGCUCCCCUCAUGGAGAACCUGAUUCAUCUGGAGCCUCGGACUCGCUAUGUAGUGGUCCCUGGGAUCAGUGCAGCACUCUUGGAAAAACAGUAAAACAGACUUGUUAUUGGCAGCCCAUUAGUGCUCAGGAGAGGCGGUCUCCAGCAUGACAUCAGCCCGCGGCUCGACCCAAAUCUAGUAUUUCACCAGAGAGCCUAACGCUGCUGGCUUUCCAACUGUGUGGAAGACGUACGUGGGGGAGAGGGAAGAAGGCAUAAAUAAGAUACAGACUGGAGACUUUUUGAUGCGUUUAGCACAUUUUUGUGAUUUCCUUUAAUACGAUAGGUCUUGCAUAAUCUCCUAUUAGGAGAACAAAAGACAAGCCUGAGAUGGGAUGGAGAGUGGGUGGAGAGGGGGAUCCAUUCCAUAAAAAGUUCACUUUGAGUAAUUAGCAUUUUUAAUCCAAAUACUUAA